AUUGAACGCUGGCGGCAGGCCUAACACAUGCAAGUCGAACGAGUGGCGGACGGGUGAGUAAUGUCUGGGAAACUGCCUGAUGGAGGGGGAUAACUACUGGAAACGGUAGCUAAUACCGCAUACCAUCGGAUGUGCCCAGUUGGGAUUAGCUAGUCGGUGGGGUAAAGGCUCACCUAGGCGACGAUGCCUAGCUGGUCUGAGAGGAUGACCAGCCACACGGGAACUAAGACAUGGUCCAGACUCCUACGGGAGGCAGCAGUGGGGAAUAUUGCACAAUGGGCGCAAGCCUGAUGCAGCCAAGCCGCGUGUAUGAAGAAGGCCUUCGGGUUGUAAAGUACUUUCAGCGGAGAGGCGUUACCCGCAGAAGAAGCACCGGCUAACUCCGUGCCAGCAGCCGCGGUAAUUC
rnacentral:rRNA from 1 species